UUGUAGCUCACAUGUUACAUUCAAAUUGCCUCUUUCUACAGUGCAAUGUGCACAUGAAGUUCUCUGAGAUGUCUGAACUAGAUUCACUGAUAUACUGGAGAGGAGGGACUUUAUGAUGACACCCUUAGAAAUAUAUUUGCAUUUUUUUCAAGUGGAGGAAUGGAUUUUAAAAAAACCCACUCCAAUUUCCACGGCAAGCAAGAGCUUAUAGGAAGAGAACAUUUCUGAAAACUUUCAGAACAGAAAAAUAAUCUUCUGGGAAAGUUACAAUAGAUUCAAAAUACAUGUCUAGAAUCUAAAUGCUUCCUCAGCCUCGAUAGAAUAAAUAAUGCUUUCUAGGAAGAACAAGCCUUUGAAAAUGAGCACCAGUGAGAACACUAAAGGAAGAAAGAAUAAUUGCACUGCACCAACAAGUUUUCUACAGGAACUGACUGAAAUGCAGAAUGAGCCCGAUCUUCUCACACUGGAGAGUUUAGCAACUGAGUUCAGUGACAGCAAAAGAAGAAGCUAAUUAUGCAAACAACAUGGCAUGUGCCAGUAUAAAAUACGGGGUCAGCAGGAGUGACUUCUGCAUGGGCUGCAGACACACGAGUGCAUAACGGGUCCCUGACGUCUUCUUCUGCCCCAUGUCUGUCCCCACGAGGCUGCCCCUGCCCGGCCGCGUAUGAAUGAACAGAAGUGCCUUUCAUCCCCCACUUGCCUGGCGCUUCAAAAGGAAUUACGAAAAUAGCAGCAACAAAAAUCCAGCUGCCUGCCAAAAGGCCCGCACACGUCCCAUUCUCACAGGCAUGCAAAAGGUUGGAGAGCUCAGCAGAAUUUUUAUGUACGGGAGCAGGCCCAAGGAAAACUCACACGCCAUAACCAAUUGUGGACAGAGGAUCAUCUAUCAGCAGACAAAUGCAGGAACUCCAGAAUGUCUCUCCUCAAAUGAAAUAAUAUAUCUUUGAAAGCCAAUGCCCGUUUUAGGCCUGAGGCCCAUAUAUCAAGCCUGAGAGGCUUGUGGAUACGCUCCAGGGCCAUUAACCUUCCACCUGUUUCCCCUUGUCCUUCAGGAUGAGACCCUGCCCUUGAUUUUACUCCCUUCCCCUGUUCAUCUUCCGACAGAGUGUAAAUGUAAAGCAGAGGGCCUGCGAAAUAAUUCAAAGGCAAUGGACCAGGGACAUGGUUACAAAUCUCUGCCACUGGCACUGUGACUUAUGCAGGCAGUUUGUCACACAUGAGCCAGGUGACCUCUGUGACAUAACAGAGAAAAAUAUCGCCCGAGAUCAAAAGAUGAGAUUCAGAGCACUCUAAGUAACUCUGGUGUACACAGCCACGCUAUGCGGUGGCCAAGGGUUUCCUCUCCUCCCAGUGCUGCUCGCUCCGCUCACUAGCGGCGAGACACACUGCUGCUAAUUUCAGUAAUCUCUUUUUCGCUCAUCUCUUUGGAAAUCUUUCCUGUAACCUGAACAUCAACAUUUGUCUUCUUCAGAAGCCCCUCUUUUUCAAAAAAUAUAAUUAAAUUGACAAGGAGAGACAGCAAAGUGUCAUUCAGACGAUAAAAAUUAAUGAAAAAAAUGAAUCAUGAUUGAAAAGGGUAGAUUAGUCACCUUUGUAAACAGAUCUAUUUUAAUAAAGUAAGUUUUGAAAUUUUAA